rnacentral:snRNA from 1 species
GGAUGUGAGGGUGAUCUGGCUACGACAUCUGUCACCCCAUUGAUGGACAGGAUUGAUUAAGCUGAUCUGGCUUGCUAUGCAGGUAUCCCCUUCCUCCCUCACCACACCACGUUCCUGCUUCCCAAAACUGCCUGCUCAGUCGAAGAGGAUGACCUUCCCAGAUGCAAGAGAGGACCAUUCUUCAGUCAAGGGCGUACAAGGAGCUGCGCUCCUCUGCUAGAACCUCCAAAAAAGCUCUCAGGGUCCAUUUGUAGGAGAAGGUAGGGUAGUCAAGCUUCCAAGACUCCAGACAUAUCCAGAUGAGGUGCUGUAUGUGGCAGUCUGCCUUUCUUA